rnacentral:tRNA from 1 species
GGGGAUGUGGUCAAGGGGUAUGACAAGCGAUCCGCAUGGGGACAGGAUAUGAGCCCUAGGACGAUUGUUCGCUUAGCCAGGGUUCGAGUCCCUGCCUCUCCA